rnacentral:rRNA from 1 species
GAGUUUGAUCGUGGCUCAGGACGAACGCUGGCGGCGUGCUUAACACAUGCAAGUCGAACGGUAAGGCUCCAGCUUGUUGGGGUACACGAGUGGCGAACGGGUGAGUAACACGUGGGUGACCUGCCCUGCACUUCGGGAUAAGCCUGGGAAACUGGGUCUAAUACCGGAUAGGACCGCACCGUGAGGGUGUGGUGGAAAGUUUUUCGUUGUGG